UUUAAGUGAAGAGUUUGAUCCUGGCUCAGAGUGAACGCUGGCGGCAGG
rnacentral:rRNA from 1 species